GUGCUCACUUUGGUAGUACAUAUACUAAAAUUGGAACGAUACAGAGAAGAUUAGCAUGG
rnacentral:snRNA from 1 species